UUAGCAUAUUUUACCGACUUAGACAUGCACGAUUGAUUCUGGAUUAAUGCGCUGCAUUGGCUAUGUGAUUAUAGGAGUGCACUUUUGUCCUUCUGGUCUUUCUUUUGAUCGGAUUAAGGAGGUGAUUGGAUCUUCUUUCCUGACCUUACAUAUGCAGAUAUUUGGCAUGGCGGGAAUGGAGAUGGAAUUUAGAGUCGAAAUGUUUAAUAAGCUUACUCAGACCUGUUUUAAAAAAUGUACCGAGCAAAGGUAUAAAGAAUGUGAACUGAACUUGGGUG